UACGAAGGGGGCGAGCGUUGUUCGGAAUUACUGGGCGUAAAGGGCGCGUAGGCGGCCGAUCAAGUCAGAUGUGAAAGUCCUGGGCUUAACCUGGGGACUGCAUUUGAUACUGAUUGGCUUGAAUUCGGGAGAGGACAGCGGAAUUCCCAGUGUAGAGGUGAAAUUCGUAGAUAUUGGGAAGAACACCGGUGGCGAAGGCGGCUAUCUGGACCGACAUUGACGCUGAGGCGCGAAAGCGUGGGGAGCAAACAGG
rnacentral:rRNA from 1 species